CCUCAGGUCGGGGAUAAACCCGGGAAACUGGGUAUAAUACCCGCUAGAUCUCGAAUGCUGGAAUGCAUCGAGAUUGAAAGCUCCGGCGCCCGAGGAUGGAUCUGCGGCCUAUCAGGUGGUAGUGGGUGUAGCGUACCUACUAGCCUACGACGGGUACGGGUUGUGAGAGCAAGAGCCCGGAGAUGGAUUCUGAGACACGAAUCCAGGCCCUACGGGGUGCAGCAGGCGCGAAAACUUUACAAUGCCGGCAACGGCGAUAAGGGGACCUCGAGUGCCAGGUUACAAAUCUGGCUGUCGAGAUGCCUAAAAAGCAUUUCAUAGCAAGGGCCGGGCAAGACCGGUGCCAGCCGCCGCGGUAACACCGGCGGCUCGAGUGGUAACCGUUAUUAUUGGGUCUAAAGGGUCUGUAGCCGGCCGGAUAAGUCUCUUGGGAAAUCUGGCAGCUUAACUGUCAGGCUUUCAGGAGAUACUGUUCGGCUCGAGGCCGGGAGAGGUGAGAGGUACUUCAGGGGUAGGGGGUGAGAUCUUGUAAUCCUUGAA
rnacentral:rRNA from 1 species